rnacentral:rRNA from 1 species
GGUUAAGCGACUAAGCGUACACGGUGGAUGCCCUGGCAGUCAGAGGCGAUGAAGGACGUGCUAAUCUGCGAUAAGCGUCGGUAAGGUGAUAUGAACCGUUAUAACCGGCGAUUUCCGAAUGGGGAAACCCAGUGUGUUUCGACACACUAUCAUUAACUGAAUCCAUAGGUUAAUGAGGCGAACCGGGGGAACUGAAACAUCUAAGUACCCCGAGGAAAAGAAAUCAACCGAGAUUCCCCCAGUAGCGGCGAGCGAACGGGGAGGAGCCCAGAGCCUGAAUCAGUGUGUGUGUUAGUGGAAGCGUCUGGAAAGGCGCGCGAUACAGGGUGACAGCCCCGUACACAAAAAUGCACAUGCUGUGAGCUCGAUGAGUAGGGCGGGACACGUGGUAUCCUGUCUGAAUAUGGGGGGACCAUCCUCCAAGGCUAAAUACUCCUGACUGACCGAUAGUGAACCAGUACCGUGAGGGAAAGGCGAAAAGAACCCCGGCGAGGGGAGUGAAAAAGAACCUGAAACCGUGUACGUACAAGCAGUGGGAGCACGCUUAGGCGUGUGACUGCGUACCUUUUGUAUAAUGGGUCAGCGACUUAUAUUCUGUAGCAAGGUUAACCGAAUAGGGGAGCCGAAGGGAAACCGAGUCUUAACUGGGCGUUAAGUUGCAGGGUAUAGACCCGAAACCCGGUGAUCUAGCCAUGGGCAGGUUGAAGGUUGGGUAACACUAACUGGAGGACCGAACCGACUAAUGUUGAAAAAUUAGCGGAUGACUUGUGGCUGGGGGUGAAAGGCCAAUCAAACCGGGAGAUAGCUGGUUCUCCCCGAAAGCUAUUUAGGUAGCGCCUCGUGAAUUCAUCUCCGGGGGUAGAGCACUGUUUCGGCAAGGGGGUCAUCCCGACUUACCAACCCGAUGCAAACUGCGAAUACCGGAGAAUGUUAUCACGGGAGACACACGGCGGGUGCUAACGUCCGUCGUGAAGAGGGAAACAACCCAGACCGCCAGCUAAGGUCCCAAAGUCAUGGUUAAGUGGGAAACGAUGUGGGAAGGCCCAGACAGCCAGGAUGUUGGCUUAGAAGCAGCCAUCAUUUAAAGAAAGCGUAAUAGCUCACUGGUCGAGUCGGCCUGCGCGGAAGAUGUAACGGGGCUAAACCAUGCACCGAAGCUGCGGCAGCGACGCUUAUGCGUUGUUGGGUAGGGGAGCGUUCUGUAAGCCUGUGAAGGUGUGCUGUGAGGCAUGCUGGAGGUAUCAGAAGUGCGAAUGCUGACAUAAGUAACGAUAAAGCGGGUGAAAAGCCCGCUCGCCGGAAGACCAAGGGUUCCUGUCCAACGUUAAUCGGGGCAGGGUGAGUCGACCCCUAAGGCGAGGCCGAAAGGCGUAGUCGAUGGGAAACAGGUUAAUAUUCCUGUACUUGGUGUUACUGCGAAGGGGGGACGGAGAAGGCUAUGUUGGCCGGGCGACGGUUGUCCCGGUUUAAGCGUGUAGGCUGGUUUUCCAGGCAAAUCCGGAAAAUCAAGGCUGAGGCGUGAUGACGAGGCACUACGGUGCUGAAGCAACAAAUGCCCUGCUUCCAGGAAAAGCCUCUAAGCAUCAGGUAACAUCAAAUCGUACCCCAAACCGACACAGGUGGUCAGGUAGAGAAUACCAAGGCGCUUGAGAGAACUCGGGUGAAGGAACUAGGCAAAAUGGUGCCGUAACUUCGGGAGAAGGCACGCUGAUAUGUAGGUGAAGUCCCUCGCGG